UUAUACUUUAUAGAUUAGGGUUUUUUUUUUUUUCUUUCUUUUUCUUUUUGCUACUGAUGUAUGGAUUAUGGAAUUACAAGGGCAUGCUUGUAAUUUUGCCGUGCACCUCUAGCAGUUGAAGCUGCCAGCAUGAUCUAAACUUGCCUCCUUUUUUUGGGUUGAGGAAAGAUCAGAUCAUGUGGCAGCUUCACCUGUUGGUUGGCUGCACGAAAAAACCUUAAUUUCUCACAAACCCUACUUGCCCACAUAAUUUUGUUCCUAACCAUGAAAAGGAGAACAGAUUCCUGUUACAUAUAUCUUAAACAUCAGAUGAGAGACAAAGAUGUGAUUUUUGGCACAAGUACUUGUUGGGCUCACUUCUGUCACAUGAAUUUCGAUUCUCAGUUUUGGGAUAAUGUUUUUUAUUUUAAUUAAUUUCUUGUAAUCUCUGGGAAAUUACACCAGCUUAGCUUGAUGAUGUAUAUAUGCAAUUAAUGUUGUCAAAAACUUAGCAUUUAAAAUGGUUGUGCAGAACAACAAAUGCAUAUAUAAUGCAUGUGAAGUCCCUGUAGAUCAGGCAACUUCUUUGUUUUGAUUUGAACUUCAAUUAAUAACUAGAUGUUUGUGUACAAAAGUAUUAGAAUAGGAUUAUCUGUUAGUUCUUAUAUAUAGUUUGAAUAAUAUUAUGUUUUUUUCCCCCUUGUGAAA